UACGUAGGGUGCGAGCGUUAAUCGGAAUUACUGGGCGUAAAGCGUGCGCAGGCGGUUUGCUAAGACCGAUGUGAAAUCCCCGGGCUUAACCUGGGAACUGCAUUGGUGACUGGCAAGCUAGAGUGUGGCAGAGGGGGGUAGAAUUCCACGUGUAGCAGUGAAAUGCGUAGAGAUGUGGAGGAAUACCGAUGGCGAAGGCAGCCCCCUGGGCCAACACUGACGCUCAUGCACGAAAGCGUGGGGAGCGAACAGG
rnacentral:rRNA from 1 species